AAUUAUAUUCCAUAUAUUCUAGUUGGAUUGUACUAUUUAUGUAGUUUGCAUAUGGAAUGAAAAAUAGUGAAGUUUAAUGAAAUUAGUACAAUAGUGAUAAUGUAAUAUUGUACAGUAUCUUGUGUUGUGCUAUUGCCGUGACAAUUUGGUGGUUUUAUUGAUCAUGAGUUCCCUUCCCACCAUCGACGAGCUUUCCUCCCCUCCAUUAAUUCAUGCAAAGACAACAAUCUUUUAAGUCCACCAUAUCCACCAACAUUC
rnacentral:lncRNA from 1 species